UACGGAGGGUGCAAGCGUUAUCCGGAUUCACUGGGUUUAAAGGGUGCGUAGGUGGGCAAGUAAGUCAGUGGUGAAAUCUCCGGGCUUAACCCGGAAACUGCCAUUGAUACUAUUUGUCUUGAAUACUGUGGAGGUCAGCGGAAUAUGUCAUGUAGCGGUGAAAUGCUUAGAUAUGACAUAGGACACCAAUUGCGAAGGCAGCCGGCUACACAAAUAUUGACACUGAGGCACGAAAGCGUGGGGAUCAAACAGG
rnacentral:rRNA from 1 species